rnacentral:rRNA from 1 species
UAACGCGUGAGGAACCUGCCUCAAAGAGGGGGGCAACAGUUGGAAGCGACUGCUAAUACCGCAUAAGCCCACGGUGCCGCAUGGCACAGAGGGAAAAGGAGCAAUCCGCUUUGAGAUGGCCUCGCGUCCGAUUAGCUAGUUGGUGAGGUAACGGCCCACCAAGGCGACGAUCGGUAGCCGGACUGAGAGGUUGAACGGCCACAUUGGGACUGAGACACGGCCCAG